rnacentral:misc_RNA from 1 species
AACGCACGAGACCUGCGGACCUGCGGAGGGAUCAUUAAUGAGAAACUGCCCCUCGCGGGUAGAUCUCCCACCCUUUGUAAACUUACCUUUGUUGCUUUGGCAGGCCCGUCUCCGGACCGCCGGCUUCGGCUGGCCAGUGCCUGCCAGAGGAUUCUAAAACUCUGUCUGUCAGUGCUGUCUGAGUCUAUAUACAAUCGUUAAAACUUUUAACAAUGGAUCUCUAGAUCGGAAGAGCACACG